CGGAGGGUGCAAGCGUUAUCCGGAUUCACUGGGUUUAAAGGGUGUGUAGGCGGAUUUUUAAGUCAGUGGUGAAAUCUCCGGGCUCAACCCGGAAACUGCCAUUGAUACUAUUAGUCUUGAAUUCUGUUGAGGUGGGCGGAAUACAUCAUGUAGCGGUGAAAUGCUUAGAUAUGAUGUAGAACACCGAUUGCGAAGGCAGCUCACUAAGCAGACAUUGACGCUGAGGCACGAAAGCGUGGGGAUCAAACAGGAUUAGAUACCCUGGUAGUCCACGCCCUAAACGAUGAUUACUCGACAUACGCGAUACACAGUGUGUGUCUGAGCGAAAGCAUUAAGUAAUCCACCUGGGAAGUACGACCGCAAGGUUG
rnacentral:rRNA from 1 species